rnacentral:lncRNA from 1 species
GAAUAUUAAGACUUAAAAAAUGGUAAUGCAGUCUGCUGAAUACAACUUGAUAGUAAACUCAAUUUUUUUUUAUUCAAGGGGCAGGCACUAUCAUUUUUGUCUAAAAUUCUCUUUUCUUGAUCUUGAUUGUUGAAAUUAAAUUCCCUUUUGAUUGUUGAAAAAUGUGGCUGUUAUUUCAAUUUUGCUCGAAGUUCUCUCUCUGCCUUUUGAGUUUGACUUGAGUGUAUGUUUGCUGUGCAACUACUGGUCUGGUGACACUUCUCUGUUUUUCAUGAAUCAUGGGUUUACAAGCUAAUUGUGCAAGUCUGGCCAAUUAUUAUAUCUUCCAAUAAAAGGAAAGAACUCAGAAUUUUGGUUGUUUCAGGUAAAGGAUGUGGACUCUAUCACCCUUGAAGACGCACUUGUGUUGCUACAAUAUCCAUUGACAUUGGUAUGUUUCCCAAUUCUAGUUGAGCUACUUGUCAUGUUGAUUUUGCAUGUCAGUUUUUGACAACUGAGUUUAUGAUGAAAUUGUUGAGUUUUAUAUAUAUGGUUGUGAUGUGUAAGACAAUCUUGGCGUGGUAAUAAUAUUUUAUGAACAUGAUAGUGGAAGGCAAACUUUCAAUCAAAUGAACAAUUUUUUUAUUUUUAAAUAUUCAGCUUGC